AAGAGGGGAGGCUUUUGGACCGAGUUGAUGGAGAUGAAACUAAGUAAUGGAAGUUCCCGGUUCAGGUGGCCAUUCCACCGGGAUCGGCUACCAGAGGAUUUGUAACUUAGAAUAGCUUACAAAUUAGGAUGCUAGUUGCUGUGCCCAGCGAUUGGGUUACCUGCUGAUUCUAAACGAAGUUUGUGUGGUGCUUUCCUUCACACAGCAACUCAACUGAUUUCCAGAGAGAAAGGAUCUGGAGAACCAAACUCAACUCCUUCAUCUUCUGAGCUACCUCCUCAGGCCCCAUUGAAAGAUAUCUUAAGGGUCUCUCUACUGUAGCCCCUGACUGUCCUGGAACUUACUCUGUAGACCAGGUUGACCUCAAACCCACAGAGAGCCACCUGCCUCUACUUUUCCAGUUCUGGGAUCAAAGAUUAUGAUCUCAGCAAAAACAGAAGACUCCGAUAGCACGAUACAGAAUAAUGAGAUGGGGAAAACAGGACCAGAGCAAAAGCUUGAAUUCUGAGCGUCAUGAACCACGUGAAGAUGUGGGAGCCACGCAUUCGUUCCAAGUAGCGCACGCGCAGAGGAAACAAGGAGUGUGGAGAGGACUGGAGGGAUGGCCGCUGAGGUGAAAGAAGGCUCAACUUUCUCCCCCCACUGGAUCAGAUGUGCGUUCUUGGUUCACUGAUGAAGAUCCUCCCAAUCUACCGAGGAGUUCUGGGAACUGAAGACUCACGCUUUCACUAAGGAGGCAGACAUGGUAUGCAGAACUUGUGAGCUCUUGCAUCAGAUCUGAGAACAGUCAAUGUAGCACGAGCACCGUACAGCAUUUGGGGGGAACACUAUGAGAUGACACAAAACGGGACCUCAGCUUACAGGCAUUAAGAAAACCCACUCCCUCUCCUACCAGGUGAGAUAGCAAAUUCCGAAACAGAGCAGUCUGUGCUCACCAUCUCCAAAGCCAUGUUGGAAGCAAGGUGAACGCAUGGGUGAUCUUGCCACUCUCUGUGCCUUCACACUGAUCGUUCAGAGCAGAGCAUCUCUUGAUGAUGUAGGACCACAGAAGACUAAGCAAGUUAGCAAGGUCCAUUGGCCUUGUUCAUCAGUCUUUUUUAUUUUUAAUAUAUGUGACAUAUAUCUGGAAUAAAAAGAACCUCCAAAUGUA